GAUGAACGCUGGCGGCGUGCCUAAUACAUGCAAGUCGAGCGAACGGACGAGAAGCUUGCUUUUCUGAUGUUAGCGGCGGACGGGUGAGAAACACGUGGAUAACCUACCUAUAAGACUGGGAUAACUUCGGGAAACCGGAGCUAAUACCGGAUAAUAUUUUGAACCGCAUGGUUCAAAAGUGAAAGACGGUCUUGCUGUCACUUAUAGAUGGAUCCGCGCUGCAUUAGCUAGUUGGUAAGGUAACGGCUUACCAAGGCAACGAUGCAUAGCCGACCUGAGAGGGUGAUCGGCCACACUGGAACUGAGACACGGUCCAGACUCCUACGGGAGGCAGCGGUAGGGAAUCUUCCGCAAUGGGCGAAAGCCUGACGGAGCAACGCCGCGUGAGUGAUGAAGGUCUUCGGAUCGUAAAACUCUGUUAUUAGGGAAGAACAUAUGUGUAAGUAACUGUGCACAUCUUGACGGUACCUAAUCAGAAAGCCACGGCUAACUACGUG
rnacentral:rRNA from 1 species